rnacentral:rRNA from 1 species
GGUGAGUAAUGUAUCGGAACGUGCCUAGUAGCGGGGGAUAACUACGCGAAAGCGUAACUAAUACCGCAUACGCCCUACGGGGGAAAGCAGGGGAUCGCAAGACCUUGCACUAUUAGAGCGGCCGAUAUCGGAUUAGCUAGUUGGUGGGGUAACGGCUCACCAAGGCGACGAUCCGUAGCUGGUUUGAGAGGACGACCAGCCACACUGGGACUGAGACACGGCCCAGACUCCUACGGGAGGCAGCAGUGGGGAAUUUUGGACAAUGGGGGAAACCCUGAUCCAGCCAUCCCGCGUGUGCGAUGAAAGCCUUCGGGUUGUAAAGCACUUUUGGCAGGAAAGAAACGUCAUGGGCUAAUACCCCGUGAAACUGACGGUACCUGCAGAAUAAGCACCGGCUAACUACGUGCCAGCAGCCGCGGUAAUACGUAUGGUGCAAGCGUUAAUCGGAAUUACUGGGCGUAAAGCGUGCGCAGGCGGUUCGGAAAGAAAGAUGUGAAAUCCCAGAGCUUAACUUUGGAACUGCAUUUUUAACUACCGAGCUAGAGUGUGUCAGAGGGAGGUGGAAUUCCGCGUGUAGCAGUGAAAUGCGUAUAUAUGCGGAGGAACACCGAUGGCGAAGGCAGCCUCCUGGGAUAACACUGACGCUCAUGCACGAGAGCGUGGGGA